rnacentral:rRNA from 1 species
UACAGAGGUCUCAAGCGUUGUUCGGAUUCAUUGGGCGUAAAGGGUGCGUAGGUGGCAUGGUAAGUCGGAUGUGAAAUCCCGGGGCUCAACCCCGGAACUGCAUUCGAUACUGCUGAGCUAGAGUACUGGAGAGGAGAUUGGAAUUUACGGUGUAGCAGUGAAAUGCGUAGAUAUCGUAAGGAAGACCAGUGGCGAAGGCGGAUCUCUGGGACGGUACUGACGCUGGAGAACGCGAAAGCGUGGGGAGCGAACAGG